rnacentral:rRNA from 1 species
UACGUAGGGUGCGAGCGUUGUCCGGAUUUACUGGGCGUAAAGCGCACGUAGGCGGAUCGCUAAGUUGGGGGUGAAAUCCUGGAGCUCAACUCCAGAACUGCCUUCAAUACUGGCGAUCUAGAGUCCGGAAGAGGUGAGUGGAACUCCUAGUGUAGAGGUGGAAUUCGUAGAUAUUAGGAAGAACACCAGUGGCGAAGGCGGCUCACUGGUCCGGUACUGACGCUGAGGUGCGAAAGCGUGGGGAGCAAACAGG